ACAGUUUGAUUCUAGCUGACAACUUAGCUAUUUAUUUGAAUCAAUAUACAUGUAAGCUCAUACGCCCCCGCCCCCGCCCGUUUCUAAAAGAUAUAUUUAUUACAUCAAACUUUCUUUACGUAGUAGUGCGCCACAGUAAGCGACCCUAAUAUUUUGCAAAAGCAAGAAUUGGAUAUCAAAUUAAGAGUUGGCAAAAUUCGUGCCAGCCGCCGCGGUUAGACGGUAAACUCAAGUUAACUAACCAUGACUAAAUAAAGGAUGAAUUAAAAGAUUUUCAAGGUCUAAUUUAACAAUUUUAGAGCCCUCUUCAUCAAUAGCUUAUGAAGACAUAACCUAAAACACGGAUUAGAUACCCGUCUAUUUAUGUAGUAAAAAAUAGUCGAAAAAUACGAACUACAGUUUAAAACUCAAAGAUUUUGGCGGUGUCUUAUCAAACCAGGGGAACUUGUCUCAUAACUCGAUAAUCCACGAAUAUCUUACCUCCCCUUGACUAACCAGUUUGUGUACUGCCGUCGUAAGCACACCUCUGAAAGCAAUAUAGUUUGCAAUUACGGUUAUCUCCCAAUUACGUCAGGUCAAAGUGCAGCUCAUGGGAAGGUGAUGAUGGGUUACACCCUAAAUACAGACACGGAAUAUUUUUUCUAAUUAACUUAUAAAGGUGGACUUGGUCGUAAUUAUAAUCCUAAAUUAUAAUGAAAAUGAAUCUAAGACAUGCACACAUCGCCCGUCACUCUCGCCUAAAGGUGAGAUAAGUCGUAACAAAGUAGGUGUAACGGAAGUUGCACCUGU
rnacentral:ncRNA from 1 species